AUGGUCCCAGUUCGGAUCGUAGGCUGCAACCCGCCUGCGUGAAGUUGGAAUUGCUAGUAAUCGCGGAUCAGCAUGCCGCGGUGAAUACGUUCCCGGGCCUUGUACACACCGCCCGUCACACCAUGGGAGCCGGUAAUGCCCGAAGUCAGUAGCCUAACCGCAAGGAGGGCGCUGCCGAAGGUAGGAUUGGCGACUGGGGUGAAGUCGUAACAAGGUAUC
rnacentral:rRNA from 1 species